UUUCAGCAGCUUAUAUCAGGUGUUAGCUAUUGCCAUGCUAUGCAAAUAUGCCAUAGAGAUCUGAAGCUCGAGAAUACACUCCUGGAUGGAAGUCCUGCUCCACGUCUGAAAAUCUGUGAUUUUGGUUAUUCCAAGUCCUCUCUACUGCACUCGAGGUCCAAAUCAACGGUUGGAACUCCAGCAUAUAUUGCACUUGAGGUCCUUUCUCGGAGAGAGUAUGAU